rnacentral:rRNA from 1 species
AGAGUUGAUCGAUGGCUCAGGAUGAACGCUAGCUACAGGCUUAACACAUGCAAGUCGAGGGGCAGCAUUGGGAUAGCUUGCUAUCCAGAUGGCGACCGGCGCACGGGUGAGUAACGCGUAUCCAACCUUCCCCCAUAGUAGGGCAUAGCCCGUAGAAAUGCGGAUUAAUACCCUAUGUUUUCCGAAGAAGACAUCUGAUUUGGAACAAAGGUUCACCGCUAUGGGAUGGGGAUGCGUCUGAUUAGGUAGUAGGCGGGGUAACGGCCCACCUAGCCGACGAUCAGUAGGGGUUCUGAGAGGAAGGUCCCCCACAUUGGAACUGAGACACGGUCCAAACUCCUACGGGAGGCAGCAGUGAGGAAUAUUGGCCAAUGGGCGCGAGCCUGAACCAGCCAAGGUUAAGCGUGCAGGAUGACGGCCCUAUGGGUUGUAAACUGCUUUUAUACAGGGAUAAAGUCGGGGACGCGUUCCCCGUUUGCAGGUACUGUAUGAAUAAGGACCGGCUAAUUCCGUGCCAGCCGCCGC